UUGAGCUGUGGUGAUCUUAUACCGCCCCAGUCUGAUGUCUGUGACUGAGUGGUACGUGACUGAGUGGUACAGUCUG
rnacentral:snoRNA from 1 species